rnacentral:lncRNA from 1 species
AAAAUAUUCCACGUGGGCACAAGCGAUUUCCAAUCAACACUAAGACAUGCCCUUGAAGAAGAGGGUUUGAGUGCGGUUCACCGGGCCAGGACAAGUGGACCUUCUUCAGUUAGGAGACACCUGCUGUGCCAGUGAGUGUCCUCAAUUCAUGGCUCAGACACAGCUCCAGCAGCCUGUCCAGCGGGGAAGAGAGCUGUGAGUGAAAAGAGCCACAGUGCACGGGUAGAAGCGACGUACCAGAGGGGUGGCUUCCUGGAGCCGAUCUAGUUCCAAGACAGAUGCCAAUGGCGGAAUCAGAGCUCCAUAAGUCAACGUACCUUUGAGAAUCUGUCAGGGGCUCUUGGAGAUCGUUUGAGCCAAAAUACAUGCCAAGUGUGUCACCUUCUGCUCCAAGUACCCACAAUGCAAAGUCGAUGUGAGUUCUUUCCUCGAUGUCGUCAUACAUUCCACUAAAUUGCUUUCACGCGUAAAUCUGGCACCGGAAGCUGGAGACUGAGAUUAGAAUGAGGAAACGCAGACGGCCUUUCUCUGCAACUAGUGCAUUUCAUGUGGUCUUCUGAAAAUUACUUAUCCUUUCUCAUCUUGACAUAUCUACUAUUUCGUCACUGAAAUUUUUAAAAAAGGAAAAAAUCUUCUAUGUCUUUCCUCCAUGUGACGUUUAAGGACAGAUGAGAGUCUGUGGAAACCAGAGCCCUGGGUUCUCACCCUAGAUCUUAGGACAGUCCCUGAAGGUCCCUGGGUCUGUUCCCUGUCUGUAAAAUGGAAUGACCUUGCCUACCUCCUGAUAAUAAGAUGAGAAGAUGUGGAACAAUGCCUGGAAAACAGCCCGACGCUAUAAGAAGUUCACCUAGUGUGCCUGAAAGGAAAUAUCACCUGCAGAAGACAGGAAGGGGCCAUGUCCCAGGAAUAUCACCUGCAGAAGACACAAAGGGGCCAUGUCCCAGGCGAGCUCUCCUCCCUGCUGGGAAGGCUGCGCUCCUGUGAAUGUGGGCACUCAUGCAGCAGCAGAGACGGGCGGGAGCUGGGGGAGAGUGGCAGAGCUGUGUGCCAAUGGCUCUGAGGUAGCAGAACAGUGGGAAGACGACAGUCUGAGAGUCAAGUGUGAAUGCCUCCAACCAAAGGAGGUUCACCUGCUUACAGCAAGGAGGACAGAGAAGUGCAGGCCAAUGACACGAGCCUCAGGAAAGCAGAAGGUUCUUUCUUCCUGAGGAUGAGAAAGGAAAUGGCUUGGACAUGGCAAUGAACAGCAGAUAAACUUUUGAGCCCAAUUCCCAUUUGUGCACCCCAAGUGCAGGAAAAGAAGUCCUUCCCUUGAGAAGCCACAGAAGAGGCUGCAGGGUGAGGGCCAGACCUAGCAAGGUGCCAGGGGGCCGUGCUCACUGGCAGUCACGGUGUAGACACGCCCAAUUCUGUGACUUCAGCGGCACAGGGAGAGCCAGGGAGAGGCGGCAAAGGGAGAGGCGGCACAGGGAGAGCCAGGGAGAGGUGGCAAAGGGAGAGGCGGCAAAGGGAGAGGCGGCACAGGGAGAGGCGACACAGGGAGAGGCGGCACAGGGAGAGCCAGGGAGAGGUGGCAAAGGGAGAGGCGGCACAGGGAGAGGCAGCACAGGAUUCUGGAUGCAGCCCCGAAGAGGAUGGAAAAUCUUAGGUGGGUGCUCAGGGGAAGAGAUAGAGGCUGCCAGGGAAGUGAGUCGGCUGCUUGCUCGGUCACCAGAUCUUGGAUUUGUGGUUGCUGGUCUGAGUUGCUACUGAAAUGCAGUAGACUUGGCCUUGGGGUCACCAAGCCAUAUGCAUGCAAUGAUAUGAGAGCAACAAAUUAGCCAAAGUGGUCUGUGCCCACAGAGGCCAGCGUCACCUCCUGGAACCACCCCUGCUAAUGUCACGUGAGCCCAGAGCCACCAACCGGGCUGGUUUCUCAGCAUAUGGGUGGAGAGAGGCCUCUGAUCGAGGAGCCACAUUCUGCAGCAAAAUAAUCCUUCCCACUGUGCACGGAGAUCCUGAGAUCACCUGGAGGGUGGGGGAUGGUGGUGACAAGACAAGGAGGGUGCAAAGACACAAGUUGCCAAAGAUCAGGGCGGGGGCGUUUCUCUUAAAUGGCGCCUCCCAGCUGGUGCCCCCUUUCCUGUUAGAAAACUUGAAUGAGAAGCAACCUUCCUGAACGGUCACAGGAAGGCAGUGUUGGUAUCUUGAGUAGGCGUGAACCACUCCCCUGCUCCGGGGGGACUAGAGAAGCGUAGCCCGUGUCCUUCCCCAUCUGAACAGAGCAGCGCCAUGGGCUAGGGAGCACUAACAGAGGCUCUGACCCCCUCCCUGCCCCUGCCCAAUUUCUGCCCCUAGAUUAGAGAUUCAGAGCUUGGGAUAACCAGAAACACAAGUGGGCACCCGGGCAUGUUUCCUUCCCUCCCUCCUGGCUCCUUGCCGUCCACAGCCACCAUAUAACACAAGCCCAGGAUCCAGCUCAGUCAGGGUAGAAGGAGACACUCGCUGGGUUGAGGUUAGAAGAUCCUGGGUUGAGGGCAUGAAUGAAUCACAUUUCACGUGCUGUGGACGGACGGAGACACAAUACUGCAGAUCACCAUCAAACCCCUCCCCAGAGAGGGCCAGAGGAGCCCACCCAAGACAGUGUCCACCAGACCUGAGAGCCUGGACCGGACAGGGCACCCCAGUGCACCCCAUCUCAGUGUCAGAGAGCAGGCAGGGCGGAGGCCGUGAGAAGUCCCUCACCCUGCAAGGAGUGAACACUGUUUUCUUAUAGAGAGAAUUUCCUUAUCCAACAAUGUGCAAGCAGAAAACAGAAAGAAAGGUCUGUGGGGAAAUAAUCCACAGCAUUAAAGAAGGGAAAUAAUCCAGUUUCUAUUUGACCCAAAAACUAUUUAUAGAAGAGUGUUUUUAAUGCUCCAAAGGAUAGGGGGGUAGUGUUUAUUUAAUGUUUGUUUUGUUGGCUGCACUUACUGCAAUUUGGGCUUUCUGUCAUUCACUGAUGUAUUCUUCAUGACCCAAUAUAGAAUCAGUUUUUAUAUUUGUUAUGAGUACAUAUGAAAGAAGGUCUGCUCUUUGUAAGGCACAAAGUUGGGGAUUAUAUAUGUAAUUUCAUGUGUAUACUAUUGAGAAAACAAGAAUGUUACAUAUCAAAAUUUAGGAAAGAAAGGCCAAAGCUGCACUAAAAGAUAAAUUCAUGGCAGUAAAAACAAAUCAUUAAAAGAAAAAUGAUAGAAGGAAGGAAGGACAGGAGGAGGGAAAGAAAUUCCUCUUCACUGGCAUUUUAUAAAUUUUAUUUAUUUUUGAGAGAAUAGAUAAUUUUCAUGCCAUCUUAAUUAUCUCUGAGUGUAGAAAAAGACAGAAAGAUAUUUAAUUCAUUUUGUGAAGCGACCAUGAUUCUGAUCAUCAUAUUGAAAUCUCACAAAUAUCAAAAAAAAGAAAAAAGUAAAACCAUGCAUUCCUCUCACUUUGAAUAUAGACUGGAAAAUUCCAAGUAAAAUAUUAGCAAAUUCAGCAGAAUAGUAGGAGAAUCAUCCACCAAGAACAAGUAGUUGUCACCCCAGUAAUUCAAGGAUGGCUCCAUUUUAAUCCAAAAGACAAUAGUUGUAAAAUAAUCUCAGGAGAUGGUGAAAAUAUUUUCAUUACACGCAGUGGCCUUUCCUGAUUUUUAAAAGCUCUUUGAAAGCAGAAAUAGACAAAUGUCACCUCAGCACUGUAAAAAUAUCUAAAACUAAAACCAGUGUCUUACUGGAUAGAAAAAAACUGUAAUAUCUCCUUGUUAUCAACAUUAAUGCAGUUCUCAAUUAUUAGAGUAAAACAUGAAAUAGACAUUAGAAGAAGAACCAUUGGAGAAAAGUUUGCAAGCAAAUCAUAACUUGCAAGAGAUAUGCCGGUACACAUUUUAGAAAAAGAAACAACAGUAAAAUGAACACAGAAUUGUUAGACUUGAUUAGUUGAAGGAAUUUUCUGUACAUCAAGAUUGUGCAGCACUUCCAACUUCCAGCUGUGGCAGAGUAGCUUCUAUCGUUCUGACCUUUUUGCCUAAAAGAAUGAUAAACUCUGAAGAAAAUGUGUAAAAUACUGAUUUGAAGGCAUGAGCUUUGAAUGUGUAUUUGCUGUUUGUUCCGCCAUCUGGCAAGGCCAAAGUGUUCCCUGGAUCCUGCUGGCCCCAGAGUGAGACUGUGGGGCAGGCCCAGCUGGGCUCACCAGCAGCAGGGACAGAGCUGCCUCGACCUCCCCAUCCCCGUGAGAAAUAAAGGUUGAUGGUGAAAGCUAUGGGAAUGUGGGAUUGUUUCUUAUGCAGA